CUGUUUGAGACAGACAUAAAGCAUAUGUAACAUACAAAAUUUAAAACGUAUCCACAAUUUGUGAUGAAACCAUUUAAUUUCCUUUUUCCUAUUUUCAGUUCAUGUGUUCGGGUCUGUGCAACCACCUCUACUGGACUCAUGGAAAGUGACAUAUUUUGCAAAGACCCCCGGUGAUGACAUUGCCACUUGGGGUGCUGUGGCCUGAGCAUACAGUGAAGAUGAGUUAUACUUGCCUGAUGCUGUGCCCCAUGGCUCCAGAAAUCUUUGAUCUUGAGCUCCGGUGCUUCAUUUUCCAGGAGCCCACUUCUGAGCUAUACUCUCGCACAUGCUCGAGAGUACAACUAUAGUGCCUAUGGUGAUCAUGCGGAAGCCUCCAUAGAUACAGGUAUUCUGUGGCAAAGAGAAGAAAAGGCCGUACUCCUAGCAACAGCUGGAGGAAGAAAAAAAUCAUUUGACGGCGGUAGCUCCAUCUUUUUGUUACAUUUUUGUCAAGUUAUGGAUUUACCAUAAGACAAGGUAGACCAUACUAUGUUUUAAGACAUUGUUCGUCUUCCUUAGAAUUUCAAUGAAAUUCCAGCACACUCCGUGUAAG
rnacentral:lncRNA from 1 species